UACGAAGGGGCUAGCGUUGCUCGGAAUGACUGGGCGUAAAGGGCGCGUAGGCGGCUCAUACAGUCAGAUGUGAAAUUCCUGGGCUUAACCUGGGGGCUGCAUUUGAUACGUGUGGGCUUGAGUGGGGAAGAGGGUCGUGGAAUUCCCAGUGUAGAGGUGAAAUUCGUAGAUAUUGGGAAGAACACCGGUGGCGAAGGCGGCGACCUGGUCCUUGACUGACGCUGAGGCGCGAAAGCGUGGGGAGCAAACAGG
rnacentral:rRNA from 1 species